rnacentral:tRNA from 1 species
GGGAAAGUGGCUCAGUGGUAGAGCGCUUGCCUUGCAUGCAUGAAGCCCUGGGUUCGAUUCCUCAGUACCA